UUAAAUUGAAGAGUUUGAUCAUGGCUCAGAUUGAACGCUGGCGGCAGGCCUAACACAUGCAAGUCGAACGGUAACAGGAAGCAGCUUGCUGCUUUGCUGACGAGUGGCGGACGGGUGAGU
rnacentral:rRNA from 16 species